rnacentral:lncRNA from 1 species
AACUAAGGAAGUGAUGUGGCUGAGAGCAGAGAAUGGAAGGGUGAAAAGGCUAGCCACAGAGAAAUAAAAAAUGGCCAAAGCCAUGAAAAGAAGGUCUUAAUUAGGCCAAAGAACUAAAGUAAUUAGCCAUUAAAUCUGCCUAUCUAGGAGAUGAGUAAAGUUUGAAUAACGAACAAAGCUGUGCCCACAGUCUGUCUUAGGAUGUACAAUAAAAAUUGCAGAAUUAAAAUAAAACUGUUUCAGGCUAGAUUAACUUUAGGAUCUGUAUUAUUUUUUUUUUUCUAUGCAGCUGGGAACAAAACCUCGGGCAAGAAGCAACUUAAGGCAGGCAGGGCUGAUUUGGGCUCACAGUUUGAGGAUACAUUCCACCAUCAUGGCAAGGCAGUAUGUCAGUAAAAGUGUGAGGUGGCUGGUCAUAUUGUGUCCCAAUCAGUAAGCAGAGGAUGAAUGCUGAGGCCCAGUUAGCUUUCUCCUCCUCCUUCAGUGUGGGCUCCCAGGCCAUGGGAUGGUGAUGCUUACAUUCAGGUGAGUUACCCCUGCUACAUUAAACAACCUCCUAGUCAUACCUAGAUAUGUUUCCAUGGUGAUAAUAUAUUCAGUCUAGUUGACAAUGAUGAUUAUCCAUCACAGGAGCAUCUGCCCCCACUUGCAUAUUUAAUAUGUAUGGAAUGUAAGCGCUGGGAAUGUGGGGUGGUUGUGCAGUAUUUUACAGUUAUUCUAGCUCUGGGACUAGAACUUGGCUUUUCCAACUCCAGUAAGAGUUCUGGUGUCUUCUGUUCAUUUGUCUAUUCCUUAGAGCUUAUUACAUUAAAGAUAAAAGCUCAUUCAUUCAUUUCAUUGAACUAUUGCUUUGUGCUAAGUGUUUGAAAAGCACUUUUAUGUUUGAAUAUCUACUUCCAUUUGUGCGCUUUGAAAGCCCUACCUUUCUUUCUUUCUUUCUUUUUCUUUAAAGAUUUGUUGAUUUUAUAUAUGUGAGUACACUGUUACUGUCUUCCGACACACC